rnacentral:misc_RNA from 1 species
AGGAAGCUUUUGUUUUCUGGAAACCCCCCCAAUGUUGCUUUGGCGGUUUUUCGUUUUCUUUUAAGUGAGAAAUCGCCGACGGCAUUUACAAACUCUUUUAUCUUUUAAGACCAAAAAAUCCUGAAUUAAACUAUAAUUUUUUAAUAAAUUAAAACUUUCAACAACGGAUCUCUUGGCUCUGGCAUCGAUGAAGAACGCAGCGAAAUGCGAUAAGUAAUGUGAAUUGCAGAAUUCCGCGAAUCAUCGAAUCUUUGAACGCACAUUGCGCCCGGCAGUUACUCUGCCGGGCAUGCCUGUUCGAGCGUCAUUUCAACCCUCAAGCCUCUAAGUGCUUGGUGUUGGAAGACCGAAGGAAAAAAACCCCUGGGUUUUGAUUCUCGGCUUCCGAAAUUAAUUGGCAACAUUCCGCGCGUUGGUUGCACCCUUGCGUAGUAAGAUCUACCUCGCAUCGGGACCCGCAUAGAAGAAGCCACUAAACCUUAUUUUAACUUCAAAGGUUGACCUCGAAUCAGGUAGGAAUACCCGCUGAACUUAAGCAUAUCAAUAA